AUAUGUGGAUUUACAUAAUAUAAAACAGUAUACAUAAAUAAUAUUUUGUGUAGAUUUUAAGGUAUUUAUUUAAAAAUAACGUUUCUUUAAAAAUAUUUUUUCUCAUCAUAUGAUUUAUGGAUCUCCCAAUAGAAUGUUUUGCUGAUGUUCUUGUUUUUAUUUUGCUAUUCAUAACUUCAGGAUUUUUCAUAUAUUAGCAUUGUAUAUUACCACAUUGCCUGCUCUGCCAUGGUCUCCUUAAUCCUUGUUCUGUUAAUAGACAUCUAGACUUCAUUCAGAUUUUCACUCAGUCAGUUUGCAAUGUAAGGGACACCUAUAGAAAUAUUGCCUGUAACAUUUUAAAAUCUAAACUAGAGGAUGUAAAAGCUGAGAUUCAUAAUUUAUUUUUAUCUUGUAUGAAAUAAAUUUGCUUAAUUGUCUGCUCUGUGCCUGGCAAGAUUAAUCCUAAGAAAAUGAGGAACGUGGAGGAAGUCAGAAGAAAAGACUACCUGUUCCUACCACUUUCACAUCAGUAGAACCAGUAUCUAGGAAACCACAGCAUGUCCCAAUUUUUUCAAUAAAUUUCCUCUUCCGUUUCUGUUUCAGAAAAUGUCUGAGAAUAUUAUGUCUUUCAGAAGCAUACACCAAUUAAUCACUACUGAUUAUCUACAUGAUACCAAUAAAUUAUUCAGCAUGCAA
ensembl:lincRNA Gm43974 predicted gene, 43974